AAACAAAUAAUAAUUGUGGAAUAAUUAUCUCACGCCUAAGAACCGGUCAUACCAAACUGACACAUGAACACAAAAUCAAAAA